rnacentral:lncRNA from 1 species
ACAGGUCUAAUGAUGAUCAGAUCCGGCCUCGCCAGCGUCGUAGCCGGGGUGGUAUGGGGAGCCAGUCUCGGGGUUCGUCCAGCCAUGUUCAGGAUUCCGUUUCGCCCCACAGCUCCUACCAUACAUCUCCCUCUCCAUUACCCGCUCCUGCUGCUCCCGCUCCCGCUGCUGCACCCGCUCCUGCUCCUCCGGGUCCUCCGGGAGUGAUGAGUGUUGCGGAGUUGGUUCGACAGCCCGGUCGUGACCAUCUUCCCUGUCUC